UGUAAGCGUAUACCAAAGUUGUUGCAGUUAAAACGCUCGUAGUCGGAAUUUGGCAGUUCCGGAUGUGUGCACGUCGUGUGCGCACUUCGCGGGGAUUGCUUUUGUGGUCUUGCGUAGGAUGAGGCACUUUUAUUAGUGAACGUCCUCACGCAACCACUUUUUACUGUGAGAAAAUCAGAGUGCUCAAAGCAGGCAUUUGCCGUGAAUGUAUUAGCAUGGAAUAAUAGAAUAGGACUUGGUUCUAUUUUGUUGGUAUGUUGGGACUGAGUAAUGAUUAAGAGGGACAGUUGGGGGCAUUUGUAUUUCGGUGCUAGAGGUGAAAUUCUUAGAUUACCGAAAGACAAACUGCUGCGAAAGCGUCUGCCAAGGAUGUUUUCAUUGA
rnacentral:rRNA from 1 species